rnacentral:misc_RNA from 1 species
UCUCCGUUGGUGAACCAGCGGAGGGAUCAUUACAGAGUUGCAAAACUCCCAAACCCGUGUGGACGUCCCUUCAACGUUGCUUCGGCGGGUUGGCCCCGGUCUCCCGGGUCCCCGGCACUCCCGGGCGCCCGCCGGACGUACUUAACGCUUGAACUUAUACGGCCUCUCUGAGUCUUUGUACUUAAUAAGUAAAAACUUUCAACAACGGAUCUCUUGGUUCUG